UUCUUGUCUGUCUCUUGCUGGGUGGUCCCUCCAUUCGCCCGUACAUCUUCCUCAAACACAAUUAACCAUUUAGAUGUUGCACAAAGGAAUAGCUUAUGCAUACAACACCAGUCGCUCGCUGCUCCGGCGCUGGGGGAGGGAGGCAAAUAAGAAGGCAGCUUCUUUUAUUUUCUACUAAAAACAAAAACAAGAAAAUCCCUUUUCCCUUCCCAAACUAUCCCAUUUUUCCUUGAAUUGUAAAGGCACUGAUCCAAGCUCAUCAGCUGUCUUGGUCCUCAGUCCAACAAUCCCCUUGCCGUCCCCCAUCCCCUGAAAUUCAACAUUAGCAUUUUAAAAGCCUAAAACAUACAAGUUUAUUUAGACUCAAGCUCUCCCAAGCUCUUGCUUUCCAUAUUUAUAUACACACGUAUUUUAACGUAUAUAAAAUGUCUGUCUAUAGGUCCUGGAAGGAAGUUCCCGUCUGCCGGCCCGUCUGGGAGGCACAGGCGCGGCUGUGGACCUUGGCUCCUGGGAGAUGGAGUGCAAACCGACAGGAUCCAGAAUCAGUCUCCUGGCUGAGAGGGAGCGAGCCUCGGUGGGCAGGCUGCUGGGGUGGGGUGGGGGUGCUGGGUGCUUGUGAGGGAAUCUCCACAUCCCCAAAUUAACUCUGCAGGUGGCCCAGUGAGAAGGGCCCUGCGCUCUGCGCUCCCCCGCGGAUGGGACGGGCUGGGUCGGGGCACAGUGGGCAGCCUGCAAUGCCGAAGGCCCCAGCCCCGCCCGCCCGCUGCAAGAAUCAAUCCUUUAAAACAGAUAACCAAAGGCCACAGGAGUGGCUGUGUGUGACGGGAGGGCAGCACUGCGGUGUCCUGGGGCUGGAUUACACCACACACUGUGCGACGUGCGUCUGUCACACCACUGCUGCCGGCACAAGCGGCUCCUCUGCGAGCCCCACGUGGGGCUUGAUCUCACUCUGCCCCUCACAAGACAUUGGGCAGGGACCACAGCAGCCAUUACUGGCCCUCACUGGGGACUUGGGCCAGCGUGAAGACAGUAAGGCACCUCAGGAAAACAAUGGUAUUCCCCAGACCUGUGGGGUUUUAUUAGGAAAAUUCUCAUCUCUGGACCAGCAAAGUCCAAAGGGUGGACAGGGGCAUAGUGAAAAGCACUCUUCCCAGGCAGCCAGAGUAAGGACAGUGGGGUGCAGAAACCAGCAAGGAAGCCAGCAGGAGCAUGGCUGUGCACAAUCAGCCUUGGAGACUGAAGGCAAUAAAAGAUUGUCAAGUCUUUCUGAUCCCAACACAGAGAGGUUCAUGAGAGUCCCACUGCUAGGGCUGCACACACAGUGUCAGCUGGAUAGGUGACUGGGGGAGCCAGACCUGUGCACCUGAGACCAUAUGACUGCUCAGGUUCUGCUCUCAUCUUUGUGCCCAAAAAAUUGUCCCAAAAGCAAGAUCAGAGCUGGGUGCAAAAUUUUUGUCUCCAUUUGAACCACCGUGGGGGUUGGAAGCCCACCAUCCCUGGGAAUGGCUGGCUGUUUGUCUUCACCUCAUGUGGCUCUCUUCCAGGGCUGCCAGGAAGAUGGGAGCCAUCCGCUUUGGUUUGACUGCAGAAGGGAUCAGAUGAGCUGCUGCUUCCUGAGAGAUCUCAAUAGCCACCUACAAAAGCAAACACAAACUGCUGAGGGAGGUGAGCCACGGCUCUGGGUGGCUUCAGCUGCCCAACAAAUGUGUCUUAAAAAUGGGCUUGGCUGCAAAAAUCCUGGCAAGUACCUGGCUGCGAGUGAGGGGGCAGAGCUUCAGGUGCCCCUGUCAUGGUGUGCCAGGGGGGAAAGACCCACAGGAAGAAGUGUGGCCAGGUGUGCAUGCACACUGCUCUGCACCCACACCAACCCUGCUGCCCUGGUCACAGGAAAAGCCUUUUGGGAGCAGCUGGCAAAACACCACGCAGGGAAAACCGCAAGCCAGUGGUCCUGCUGGCCAUCACGGCAAACCUCUGCUUUACCCCAUGCAGAUCCAGCAUGUGACAAACUGCAAGAGCCUCUUCACAGCAACCCUGGCGUUACAUCUGCCAAGAAAGUGUUCAGGACAAGUCUGUCCAGAAAGAGCCAGCACCUACGGAGCUGGAGAACUUUCAUCUCCUUCAGAGAAAUGUUGCCUAUAUAGCACCACUUUGAUGCCAGUUAACACCAUGAUGGCCACAAGCUGUAAUGCUCAGCUGGCUGGGUGUGACAGAGCAGCUUAUUUGUUUCUGAGAGGUGCUCCAUUCCUCAAAGUUGGUGAGCAGAUGUCUCUAUGACCUGGGACCAAACAGUCAUGUCCAAAACUACCUGGCAACAGAACUCCAUGCCCUCAGUCACCUCCCCAGUUUUCUCAAUGACUGUAACAUCACUAGGUUUGUGAAGUUGCCUGACCCAACCCAUCACAUGCUCACCUGGUGAUGACAGCAGCAUGGAGACCAGGUGCUUUACAAUCCUGGCACAGGCCCUGACCACAAGGCUGUGCAUUUCACAUUAGCACGAGCAACUCAUCUCAGAAACACAGGCCCUGUAGCAACUCCUGUGACUCCAUUCCUGAACCUCCUCCAAGCAGACUACCUAUCAUGUUGAUUUCUAUGAUGUGAAUAAGACCCUGGCUACCAUCCAGUGAGAACAGCAUCCUCCAUGAUCCUAAAUGUGCAGAGUUGGGAUGAGUCCUGUCACAUACCUUGCUGCAGAGAUGGGGAAACCAAGGCAGCAGUGAGUUAGAGAGUUCAGGCAGCCAAAGCCACAUGGGAAAUUGGAGCCUGCAUUCCUGCAUCUCUCAUCCCUGUGCCUGUUUCAUCUCCUCCUUGAUCCCUGUGGCCCAGAUUCCCCAAAGUGGGCACACACGACCCUGAAAAAUACUGAGACAAGGAUGACAAGGACAAUCAAGAAGAAAGACCAGUUUUCAUACUACAAUGCAGACUAGGAUCUGCACCCUGGAAGAUACUUCCGAAGCAGCUGUGAUCAAGAUAGGAGUCAUUGAAGGACAGAAAACGCAGCUAAGAUGUAUCUAAAAAUACUAACACCCAUUGAAACCAGCUGAUUGGGAAGAGGGUAUAAGCAAGAUCUAUAAUCCUGGAGAGAUGCAGGUACAACGUGCAAAUGGGAGCAUAUGAGAGUGUGUGCCUGUGUCUGUGUCUGUGUGUCCGCUACGUGCCUGCAUCUGAGAGACAGAGCCUGACUUUGGGGUGAGUUUUUUUGAAAGUGAGAGAACAAGAGCAAAAGGAGUAGUGGCCAAGGAGGCAUGGGGGGAUUACAAGGAUUUAGGUCUUUAAACUGCAGACCACCUAACAAGAUCACUCUGAAAUGCCACUAAUUUCAGUUAAGGCCACAGACCUCCCUUCCUCUGCCCUCCCUCUCUCCCCCAUUGUAAACAACUAAUCCCAGCAGAAAACAACAGAGAGCAAAAUGUACACACAUUCUGCAACAUUCCAGGUCCUUCUUUAUCUUUUAUUUAUUUUUCUAAAAGGUCAGCGUAUGUAUGGAGGGAGGGGGGAGGGGAAGAAAGCCAAAAAAACCUCAAGUCCAUCUCUUGUGUGGGCUUGAAGGAAGCUGGGAGAAAGCAAAGUCCAAGAGCACACAAUAUGGAGCUUUUAUAGCACAGCAAUUCCUGGACUCAGCUUACUUUCCCCUCCCUCUAUUUGUGGCAAAGUCACAUAGCUUUAAACCAAAGGACAGGGUGGUCGAUUACAUCUGAAAGAAAUGUAAAGAAUUGAGAAAGAAUUCCAUCUCCUGUCGAAAUUAUAAAUAAGGAAGUAUUAAUCCCAGAGACAAGCUGAUUUAUGCAGCCUUGGAACUGCUGACUUUCAGCCCUAGUAUCGGUCUAUAAAUCAAACUCUUAAAUCAAGUGUGUCAAUCGCUGCAGCACUGUGAUACUCAGGCAAAGCAAAGCACCUACCACUGAAAGCAGGAAGAUUGCCAGGGGACUGAGGUGCCAUACCCUCCUUAAUUUUCUAAAGUGUAAAUCUGAGAUCAAACAUCCUUUGGGGGAAUGGGAAAUCAAAAUACGCAGUGCUCAGCACACCGGGAGCAGGCAGCAGGAGACCAAGACACAACCCCCUAAUUACAGGCUACCCACUGAUUAUUUAGGACUCUGUGAUUAAAGUGAUGAACGCUCCUGGGAGAAAGGGGCUUAAGUAACUGAGGUCAAGACCUCAACUGCAGCUCUCGCCCUGGUUGUGCAAGCUUAGGAAGGUAUGAAUGUCACAGGUUUGCCUUAUAGCAAAUCUCCUGAAAUGCCAAUGGAAGUUAUCCAAGCCUGGUACUUAAUCCAAUUGUGCCAAAACCCUGACAUAAUCUCUGUUGGGCAGCAAGGCAAAUGAGGUGUCUAUAAUGCAAUGCUUAAAACUGUAGACUCACAAGAAAGCCUGGAGCACAAAGCCUAGGACAGCCUGUUGGUACCGCUCUGCCGUGCCAAGAAGUCGGGUCUCUUGUGCCUCCAGAUGAGCAACAAAACAGAGAGACUGAUGCGGGAGUUAAAAGCAAAGGGUGACAUGCCUAAGCAGCUACUUUGCUGACUGAGAGGUAACAGAUGUGAAUUCGCCUGGGAGCAACAUCCCCUUCUGCCCUGACCAAGAAGAUAACAGUCACCACAGGCACCUUAACAACACUAAGAGGUGGCAAGGAGUCAGGAAGAGCUUUAAAACAUACCAGCAACCCCUGAAGGAAUCCCCUGCUAGCUAGUGAACUGGUGGCUGGGACUCACGAUCACAGGGAUGAGGCACAAAGACCAUGGAAAAACAGGGGAGAGGCAAAAAACACAAUUAGGAAACUUGGGAACCUAAAACGUUGCCUUUGCCAACAUGCUUUACACACCAAUACAUUUUUACACCAACACACUCUUACACAUGAACACAAGAACUGUGGGCACUAUGAAUCUCACAUUAUAUACUCAAGUAAAUACCAAAGCCUGCAAUAGAUGCCAGCAGUACAUGCUAUAAUUUAUAGAUACAUUUCAAAGCAAGCAUUCGCAAGUGCAUUUGGGCUUUGAUCUGCUGUUUUUCCCCUUGGGGGUAACAAAAUCAUUCUACCAACCCCUCUAAAUUCUUUGCCCGUCUCUGAGGGUGUUUUCACUAAAGAACUUGUUUCAUGUCUCUUUUCUAGCCAAGCUCAUCACUGUGGUAUGGCUCCUUUACACUUCUUCCCCACACCCUAAACAUUUUGCAUUACAUACUGCAUAUACUUGCCAGCACUCGUAUUUUCCAGUGAAAGUUCAACUGACCUUAAAGGAUUGCCUCAAACCUACCUUAAUGUGUUAAUUUAUUAAGUGAAACUUAGGGUGCGGGAGGUCGCCAGGAAGGUCAUGCCUCACCUCUGAAACUUCAGCUACAUCCAGCUGAUCUUGGAACACACAAAUUGGUGGGCUUUUAUGUAGCCGCAAGCUCGGGGUUGCACACUUCAGCAAAAGUACACUGCAAGGAGUUUACACCAGGAAACCCCUCACACAGGAAAAUUGACAACCCUCUGGAUUCUCUUUUGCAGAGUCAAAGGGCCAGGUCCUACACAAUUUUACAGACACUUCCCCGAGGGCCAGGAAAAGCUACUUGUGUCUAUGUGAAGGAAACAAAGCAGGAAAAUUUUAUGUUCACUACCACCUCUGGGUUUGCUUCACUUUCCCCCCAGCUCUCACAGUCAGACUGAGGUAACAGGCACAGUAAAAGGACACCUUCUCUGGGGUAUUUGAAGCACAGUUCUGGGUUGAGGGCUGUGGCCCUUUGUAAGACAUUACUGGUUAAGUCAUUUUCCAUAUCAUCUGAGCUAGGUUGACGUGGAAAAGUUUUUUGUAAAUGUCAUCCAGGGCUUCUUAGAUCUAAGCUGAACUUAGAUCUAAGUUAGAUCUUAGCUGAACCCUUGUCUCCUCAGGAACUUAAGAGGCACACUGUGAUAAUUUCUUCCUCUUCUGUACCCAGGUGGGGGAAGAUUUUAAAGAGCAUCAGAGACAUUCACACCCAGAUUCCCACCAAAAUCCAACAGCAAUCAGCUGCUUGUGAAAAAUCUCCAUACUCUUUGAUUAGACCCAUGUGGUUACCAGGAGACAGAAGCUAAUUUAUAGCUCUGAAGUCAGACAUAACCCUGUCCACCUGAAGCAGCAGAUCAGCAGAAUGAGAGGAGAUAUUUUAAAAUGCUACUUUUCAGGGCUCAUCUGUGCUUUAAGUUCAACAUUUGAUGUACAAGAUGUUUGUAAAACUGGGACGAGCUCCCUGCACUAUUAGGGAGUCUGCAUCUGAGAUUAAAGAACAGGUGAUUUCUUUAAGACAGAUUGAUGUACCAGGAAGCUAGCCAGAAGAAAAAAUUUUUGGAGGAGCUGCUAGUAAUAAUGUUUCAGACACUCACAAGAUAACAGGGAGACAAGGAAUCAAUUGGCAGUGUGAGACAAAGCAUCCAGGAAACAAGAGCCAUCUUAAAAAAUGGUUCAAGAUACAAAAUGUUUGGGAAUUUCAGCAUCAGCAGAUCUUUAUUUUCAGCUUUGCAAGCUAUGGUGCUGAAAACAACAUCACCUCCUCACUCUUUUUCAUGUGGUUAUGUACUGUAAAAUAUGUUGCCUUGGCAGUAGGAUCAUUCCUUUGUACUGCCAUUGUCCAAGGGGAAAAAGACUACUUAUGCACUGAACCUCUAUAAAGACUCAAUUCCACCCUGGUUUUAAUUAGAACUUUCUUCAAACCACUGACUGUUUCUACAUCAGGUGAUGAUUUGGCACUAUUGAGGAAACAACCAAUAAAUUUCACAAUCAAUCUGCAGUUAGUAGUCAAUCUAGCUUGUCUUGCUUGUUGUUUGCUUCCUUUGUACAUUUUCUCAUAGAAAGGAGCAAUAAAUUGAAGAUAUGUGGUAAACUAGAGUAGCCUUGACCAGUCCCACAUGGUCUCUCUCCAGUCCCCUCACUGAGCAGAAUUACAGCAUCUGUUCACCUACUUUCACACAGGUAGCCAGAACACCUUUAACAAAAUACAGUUCAUAAUUUACUGUCUUCACACGACUGAAGAAGGACAAUUCCAGUUUUGGCGGACAAAACAUUUUCAGUGCCAGUUCUUUCUUCACAUAUCUGGGUACUUUAGUCCUUCAUAUUAAUUUUUACUCCAGCCUAUUCUUUCUGCCCAGGGAGUCAGAACUCCCCAAGGUUUACCACAUCUUCCCGUGGGACUCUUCUAACUUUCCCUCUGUCUUCAACAUUCACAUCACCUCCCUGCAGUUUUUAACUUGAAGCCUUUGGUGUCACCUCCCUUGCAUUCCGAGUUUCCUGAUGCUGCAACACUUUGUGAUUUGCUGGCAUCAUGGUGCAGCCUGACCCAAAACAUAUCUGCCUGUCUUUUUAAGCCCUUCCCUUUCCAAAAGGUGACCUUAGCUGUAUGCCACAUGAGGAACUUCAGCAGUUCAGUUCAGUUCUUUUGGGUAGUAUGUUUGUAUGUGGUUGCAACAAAAUGCUGUAAACUUCACAAAGAUACAAGGCUAUUGUUCAGUGAUUCCUUCCCCUGCAAAAACUCAAUAACCUCAGUCACACCUGCAACCCUACUCUUAGAGUUCCUGAACCAACUGCCCACUGCAUCUGGUUAUCUGACAACUGUCUGCUGCAAACUUCUUUCUGGAGGGAACUUUUUCCUUUUCCCACUGCUAAUCACGGUCUGGAACACAGUUUUUAUGGCAAAAUUACAGGUGAGACAGGUUUAGCUUCCUUGGUUGCUCUGUGAAGAUCUGGUACCUUCUUGCUGUGGAGGUGAAAUCUAGAAGUAAAUCUUGGACCUUUUGCUCUCUCUGAUAAUCAGAGAAGCCUAUUUAUGAUCUCCAUAAAAACAUCAUUUGAUGCAGAAUGCUUUCCUGUAUUUCCAUGAAAAAAGAAAAGCAGCAAAAUACUUCAUUUCAGACUAUAUCUACCACAGAGUCCUUAUGGUACUGACUACCACCACAUCAACAAGACCUUUUCAAAGCAUGGCUUACAGCAGACUUAGUAUUUAUCUGAGCUUUUCACAUUUGCCUUCUCAACUAACCUCUAAGUAGUCCAAAGACCAUAUUUUUUUCCCCUACU